UAUGUUCAAUUAUUUUAUUUUUACAAACAAAUUACAAUAUAGUAAUCCAACAUUUGGUCCAAAAGAAUAAGGCAAAUUCUUAACUUCUUAAUUCCCAAACGGUAAAAGAUUAAUGCAUAAGAACAAAGUAAUAAAAACCUAAAUGUAAUAAUAAUAUAAAUUAUAACAAACAAUAUUAUCAUAUAAUAUAUGUAUUAAUUACAUAUCAAUAACAUUGAAGAAUAAACAUUUGUGUCAGUUUUGAUAAAUCAGUGUACUGUAAAUUCAGAAGUUAUUGGGUGCAUUUAUUAUUGCAAUUUUCUCAUUAAGGACUGAAAUGCGAUUUUCAUUUUUACCAUAUUGAGAAACAUCCUGUUUAAUUCAUAUAAAAAAAGUUCAAAAUGAGAGUUUAAAUUAUUGCAAUUAUAAUCCUGUCGCAAUUUUUCUCAAUAAUUAAAACAUCGCAAUAAUUUCUGAAUUUACAGUACCAUGGUAUUUGAAAAUAAGUAUUGAAAAUUUGGAAUUUAUUGUGAAUAAUGCGACUUGGUGAGUAUGGCAAUAAUAGGAACACACACUCUGAUAGAUCAGAAUAGCAAAAAAAAACUUAAUUCAUGCAGUAAUGCAGAAGCUUGAUAUUAUAGCAGGAGCUGCAGGACUACAUUUUUACAUACAAUGUGCAUGGUUCAAGUUUCCUUUUUUUUCCUCCCAUGGCAGCCAAUAAGUAUUAUUUUCCAAUAGUUUUUUUUUCAAAAAUUUACCUAUACCCAAACUAGAAAAAUGCUUGUUUGGGCCCCUUUUUGGCCCCUACGGUUGUGACCAACAUAUUUUCCCACAACGUGGAGGCAUUAUGUAUGCUAUAUAUACUAUCUGAAUAAAUACUAUUGUUUGCACCAAGUAGUAUUUAAACAAUUAUAUACACAAGAUAAUUAAUAUAAAAUUAUUCAGUAAUUGUAAUAAAUUAAAGAGAAAUUUGUUUAACUGUUAGGUGAUUUGUGACUUCAUUAUGGUAAUACUGUUUUCGUCUGUACCAAUUAUUUUUAUAGGAAAAAAAUUGACUUAGAUCUUCAUUUGGUGUAUUUCAAGCAUAUUUUGCAUUCAAACAUGUAGGUAUUUUGUACUUUAUUGAGUGAUUUGCCUCUGACAGAAGAUUUGAAAACUUCUGCUCACAAUGAACAUGUUUAGGGGGCCAACUGAAGCAUGCCUCCAGGAGCAGGAUUCUCUUGCUGUUUUGAAGAUCCAUUGGUGGCCUUUGGCUGUUUUCUGCUCUUUGGUCAGGUUGUUGUCUCUUUGACACAUUCCAUAUUUUCAUUCUUAAUUUUAGCACAUUCAAAUUAAUGUCACCAUAACUUUCCUAUCUUUAUCAAAAACUUCAACCUGAACAGAAAUGAACAGCCGGACACCAUAACAUCCUCUACUAACAAAAGCAGGCAUAAAAAAUAAAGGCAGUCAGAACUACAUUAAAUCAAACUAGUAACUUGAUUUCUUUACAAAGUCCUUAGAAAAGAGAGUGGAAACAGGGAAUGCCUCAAAGCGACAACUCGACCUUAGAGCAGAACAAAUCAAUAGGUUACAAAUGGGUCAAAGUUCACCUAACAGAGAAGCAAAUUUAACGUAAGUUUUGUUUUCAAUACUGUAAAUUCAGAAAUUAUUGUGUGCAUUUAUUAUUGCGAUUUUGUCAUUUAAGACUAAAACACGAUUUUAAUUUUUGAAAUAUUGAGAAAAAUCCUGUUUAAUUCAUAUAAAAGUUUCAAAAUGAGAGUUUAAAUUAUUGCUAUUAAAACCCUGUUGCAUUUUUGGCAAUAAUAAAAACAUCACAAUAAUUUCUGAAUUUCCAGUACAAAUAAGUUAUAUCUGUACAUGGAUGGGACUAAUAAAUUCACAACUGGCUGUUCAUAAAUGGGGCAUAAAAAUAAUGUUAAACUAGCAAGUUACCACUUUCACAAAGGUCUUAGAAAAAGAGAACUCACCAAAGAGACAAUCGAUGGAAAAAGCAGAAAACAAACCAAGUCUACCAAUGGGUCAAAAUUCACCUAACAGAUAAGAAAAUUUAACUGUUUUUUUGUUGGCCAAAAAAAAAAGUUUAUAUCUGUACAUGGAUGGGACUGAUAAAUUCACAACUGGCUUUAGUUUACCAACCUAGAUCUACUUUUAUAACAAUAAAUAAAUUAAGAGUAUACAUUAUAUUUAUAUUUUUGGUCAACAUAAAUAAAAUAAAAAAAAGUUGCUCUAAUAAUUUAUAUACCAUCGUAAAUUAACUAUAAGCAUAAAUAAAAAUAACUGAUAUGUUUAAAAAAAAAUAAAAAAAUAAUGGAACGUUUUCAAAUCAAAAUGACAGGAAUGAGAUUCUGAAUGAAACCGUUAAAGAUUGUCACAAAAAAAACCAAAAGCAUGCUUUAUAGAGAAGUUUGGACCAUUUGACCUAAUAUAAAAAUCACUACUGGCUCAAGGGAACCAAAAUAGAUCACUUAGUAAUUAUCCUAUGCAACUAUUGUUUGUUACUAAGAUACUUUUUAUGUCACGCUUUUAUCAAAAAACAUUUUACUUAUUUGGUUGGUUAAUUACGUUGAUUUUGUCAGUUUUUCUGGACCUUUUUGAAAUGACCUUAGAGAACAGUAUUUUUUUUUUUAACAAUUUUUCAAUAUUCCUCCAAAUUCGGAACCAAAAAAGAUAUUUUGAAGAUUGGAAAAAUCAAACAAAGUAAUUAAAUCUGAAUUGAAUCAAAUGCAAGCAUCAUUCAUCUACAACUUUCAAUGCAAAAGAAUUAAAAGUUAUCUGGAAAUUAAAUACAUAUAUACGAGCACCUAUAAAUAAUAUAUCAACAUGAAUGACAAUGUCCAAUGACGUUAAAUUUAUCUGAUAUGAAUAAUAAAUGAGAUCCAUUUGUAAGUCAGAUUUCAAAAGUGCCAUCAUUGAGUUUAAUGUACCGGUACUGUGCGGUACACCUUAUCACAGAAAGCUGAUUCACAUGUACUGCUUAUUUGCUAUUUCACAAAAAAUAAGUAUUGAUGAUUCAUUAAUAUUCGUUGGAUACCAGUUUUCAUGGAUUUCGUCGUUACAGGUUAACCACAAAUUGUAAAUUUUAUAUAUGCUUUGUAUGCACAGAUAGGCAUUUCCAUGAAAACAAAAUUACACGAAAAUACAAUCUUUCGUCAAUCCACGCAAAUUGAUACCCAUGAAAAUAAAUGAAUCCACAGUACACUAUAUUGUAAUUAUUGACAAACCAUUUUAUUCAAUGUUAAAUAGAACAUUUACAGAAUAUUAUAUAUAUAUAUAUAAAACCUUUUUAUUCAUCUAUAAAAGUUGUGAAGGGGCCUCAGUGGACCAGAGGUCUAAGUAGUCUAACAACUAUAACAUAAGAGGGUGGUAAAGGGUUAUUUUCGUGCAACGUGAUCGCCGUUUUUUAUUUGACGUUCAACGUGUUUUUACUUUUUUAUUUGACGUUCAGUUGUGCAAGAUGGGUGCCUCGUUCAACAUGUUCUGCUUAUUUAGUUUUACGUGCAUUGUGAUUUUCAAAGUCUUAUUUUGCGUGCUCGGUAUUUUUCAAAUAAAAUUCAAACACUAGGCAAGGAUCGUCAAGAAAUACUUUUUUAAAAGCCGUAAACCAAUUAUAUCAUAAAUGUGUAUACUAAAUCGGGAACAUCAAGUAAUACAAAGAGUUAAUAUAUACAAGAAGGCAGUGACUCAGUCACAAAAGUUCAAAUUAAAGUAUUUAUUUUCGUUGCAACGUUCAUUACAGAACUUAUUUCACGUUCAACGUGAAAUUAUGUAUUAUUUCACGUUUUUUUCGUGCAAACACCCCCCUUUACCACCCUCACAUAAGCCAGCAAUUCUGAGGUUGUGAGUUCAAAUCGCACACAGGGCAUGUGCAAACUGUGCACUCAAUUCCAAUUUUAAUUGCCUAGGAUUGUUACUUUUCCUACCAAAGAUCAGUGGUUCUCUCUAAACACUCCGACUUCUUCCAGUAAUAAAAAAAAAGACUGCAACGAAAUAGCACAAUACUGUUUAAAGUGGAAUUCAACACAUAUCAAUCAAAGUUAAAGUUGUUGAGAAUAAUGGGGUCCAUUUCAAAAUUUUUCAAGACUGGCUUUGUAGAAUCAUAAAAAUCUUAUGUUUUUAAAUAUUUUAUAUAUAAUAUUUGGAUACUCAGAAUAACUUAUUGUUUCUAAGACACCAGAUAGAUUGAUGGUAUAUAUAUUGUGUAAUGCCAUACAAGGUUAACAAUAUAUUCAAAAAUUAAUGCAAUGUUUUCAUCUAUAACAAAAAUUAGACAAAAUUCAGGUCACAUUGUUUAAAACUCACAUUUCUGUUCAACAACGGAAUAAUACACAUUUCAAAAAUAGAUAUUUUCCAAACAGUGAAACCCAUUAAUUUAUUUUGACGAUUCUUAUUACAUUUCACACAUGUGUGCAUUAAUCUUCAAAUUUGCAGGAUGUUAAAUUGAAAAAUAAC
rnacentral:lncRNA from 1 species